rnacentral:rRNA from 1 species
GAUGAACGCUGGCGGCGUGCCUAAUACAUGCAAGUCGAGCGAACAGACGAGGAGCUUGCUCCUCUGACGUUAGCGGCGGACGGGUGAGUAACACGUGGAUAACCUACCUAUAAGACUGGGAUAACUUCGGGAAACCGGAGCUAAUACCGGAUAACAUGUUGAACCGCAUGGUUCAACAGUGAAAGACGGUCUUGCUGUCACUUAUAGAUGGAUCCGCGCCGCAUUAGCUAGUUGGUAAGGUAACGGCUUACCAAGGCAACGAUGCGUAGCCGACCUGAGAGGGUGAUCGGCCACACUAGAACUGAGACACGGUCCAGACUCCUACGGGAGGCAGCAGUAGGGAAUCUUCCGCAAUGGGCGAAAGCCUGACGGAGCAACGCCGCGUGAGUGAAGAAGGUCUUCGGAUCGUAAAACUCUGUUAUUAGGGAAGAACAAAUGUGUAAGUAACUAUGCACGGCUUGACGGUACCUAGUCAGAAAGCCACGGCUAACUACGUG